CGAAAUUGAAGUUGAUGAGCCAAAUGAUGAUGGUGGGCAAUCCAACGUCUCUUCUCACCUCCCCUAAUGCGUCUACCGCCAAUUUCAUCUGUUUUUGCAUUCAAAUGCCAAAUAAAACUCAAAAAACUAUGCCACAUUUCUCGUAUUUCUCAAGCUCAUCUUCAACUGCUUCGUCACGCCUUCUUCCCUUCAAAAACAGCUGUUUCCUCUCUUCUCCACAACUAUCUCAACG
rnacentral:misc_RNA from 1 species